AAGGGUGCGUAACACGUGGGUAAUUUGCCGCGAAGUUGGGGAUAACUCGCUGAAAGGCGAGCUAAUACCGAAUGUGAAAGCCGGGAGGCAUCUUCUGGUUUUUAAAGUUGGGGACCGCAAGGCCUGACGCUUCACGAUAAGCCCGCGGCCUAUCAGCUAGUUGGUGAGGUAACGGCUCACCAAGGCUAAGACGGGUAGCUGGUCUGAGAGGACGACCAGUCACACUGGAACUGAGACACGGUCCAGACACCUACGGGUGGCAGCAGUCGAGAAUUUUUCUCAAUGGGCGAAAGCCUGAAGGAGCGACGCCGCGUGAGGGAUGAAGGGCUUCGGCCCGUAAACCUCUGUCAUUUGCGAACAAACCUUACGAUCCAACACAUCGUGAGCUGAUUGUAGCGAAAGAGGAAGGGACGGCUAACUCUGUGCCAGCAGCCGCGG
rnacentral:rRNA from 1 species